GACCAACGCUGGCGGCAUGCCUAACACAUGCAAGUCGAACGGACAGAACAGGGAAGCUUUUCGGAGUGGAACUGGAAAGUUAGUGGCGGAUGGGUGAGUAACGCGUGGACAACCUACCUUGUAAAGGGGAAUAACCUCGAGAAAUCGAAGCUAAUACCCCAUAAUAACCUUGCUUCGCAUGAAGUAAGGAGGAAAGGCGGCCUUAGCGCUGUCGAUACAAGAUGGGUCCGCGUCUGAUUAGCUAGUUGGUGAGGUAAAGGCUCACCAAGGCGACGAUCAGUAGCCGGCCUGAGAGGGUGAACGGCCACAUUGGGACUGAGACACGGCCCAAACUCCUACGGGAGGCAGCAGUGGGGAAUCUACCGCAAUGGGCGAAAGCCUGACGGAGCAAUGCCGCGUGAGUGAAGAAGGCCUUCGGGUUGUAAAACUCUGUCCUUAUCGAAGAGAGAGUGUUGUAGUAACUGACAAUACUAGGACGGUAGAUGAGGAGGAAGCCCCGGCUAACUAUGUG
rnacentral:rRNA from 1 species